rnacentral:misc_RNA from 1 species
GAUGAAGAACGUAGCGAAAUGCGAUACUUGGUGUGAAUUGCAGAAUCCCGUGAACCAUCGAGUCUUUGAACGCAAGUUGCGCCCGAAGCCAUUAGGCCGAGGGCACGCCUGCCUGGGCGUCACACGUCGUUGCCCCCCCAUCUACUCCUUCGGGAUUGCGAGGGGCGGAUGAUGGCCUCCCGUGCGCCUCGUCGCGCGGUUGGCAUAAAUGCCAAGUCCUCGGCGACGCACGCCACGACAAUCGGUGGUUGCGAAACCUCGGUUGCCCGUCGUGUGCGGUCGUCGCGCAUCGAGGGCUCGAAAAAAUUGCCGGGCUCCGGCUCGGCUUUCAACGCGACCCCAGGUCAGGCGGGGUUACCCGCUGAAUUUAAGCAUAUCAAUAAGCGGAAGA